rnacentral:rRNA from 1 species
UGGAGAGUUUGAUCCUGGCUCAGACGACGCUGGCGGCGUGCUUAACACAUGCAAGUCGAACGGAAAGGCCUCUUCGGAGGUACUCGAGUGGCGAACGGGUGAGUAACACGUGGGCAAUCUGCCCUGCUCUUCGGGAUAAGCCUGGGAAGCUGGGUCUAAUACCGAAUAUGACCUUUAGACGCAUGUCUUUUGGUGGAAAGCUUUUGCGGUGUGGGAUGGGCCCGCGGCCUAUCAGCUAGUUGGUGGGGUGAUGGCCUACCAAGGCGACGACGGGUAGCCGGCCUGAGAGGGUGUCCGGCCACACUGGGACUGAGAUACGGCCCANACUCCUACGGGAGGCAGCAGUGGGGAAUAUUGCACAAUGGGCGCAAGCCUGAUGCAGCGACGCCGCGUGGGGGAUGACGGCCUUCGGGUUGUAAACCUCUUUCACCAUCNGACGAAGGUUCGGGNUUUCUCGGAUUGACGGUAGGUGGAGAAGAAGCACCGGCCAACUACGUGCCAGCAGCCGCGGUA